rnacentral:rRNA from 1 species
GGUUAAGCGAAUAAGCGUACACGGUGGAUGCCUAGGCAAUCAGAGGCGAUGAAGGACGUGCUAAUCUGCGAAAAGCGUCGGUAAGGUGAUAUGAACCGUUAUACCCGACGAUAUCCGAAUGGGGAAACCCAGUAUCCAAUGGAUACUAUCAUUAACUGAAUCCAUAGGUUAAUGAGGCGAACCGGGAGAACUGAAACAUCUCAGUACCCCGAGGAAAAGAAAUCAACCGAGAUUCCCCUAGUAGCGGCGAGCGAACGGGGAGCAGCCCAGAGUCUUAAUCAAUAGCAGUGUCAGGAGAACGGUCUGGAAAGUCCGGCAGUAAAGGGUGAUAGCCCCGUAUCUGAAGAUGCUGUUAUUGUGAACUCGACGAGUAGGGCGGGACACGUGUUAUCCUGUCUGAAUAUGGGGGGACCAUCCUCCAAGGCUAAAUACUCCUGAUUGACCGAUAGUGAACCAGUACCGUGAGGGAAAGGCGAAAAGAACCCCGGCGAGGGGAGUGAAAAAGAACCUGAAACCGUGUACGUACAAGCAGUAGGAGCCUCUUUAUGGGGUGACUGCGUACCUUUUGUAUAAUGGGUCAGCGACUUAUAUUCUGUAGCAAGGUUAACCGCAUAGGGGAGCCGUAGGGAAACCGAGUCUUAACUGGGCGAAUGAGUUGCAGGGUAUAGACCCGAAACCCGGUGAUCUAUCCAUGGGCAGGUUGAAGGUUGGGUAACACUAACUGGAGGACCGAACCGACUAAUGUUGAAAAAUUAGCGGAUGACUUGUGGAUGGGGGUGAAAGGCCAAUCAAACCGGGAGAUAGCUGGUUCUCCCCGAAAGCUAUUUAGGUAGCGCCUCGUGAACUCAUCUUCGGGGGUAGAGCACUGUUUCGACUAGGGGGUCAUCCCGACUUACCAACUCGAUGCAAACUGCGAAUACCGAAGAAUGUUAUCACGGGAGACACACGGCGGGUGCUAACGUCCGUCGUGAAGAGGGAAACAACCCAGACCGCCAGCUAAGGUCCCAAAGUCAUGGUUAAGUGGGAAACGAAGUGGGAAGGCUCAGACAGCCAGGAUGUUGGCUUAGAAGCAGCCAUCAUUUAAAGAAAGCGUAAUAGCUCACUGGUCGAGUCGGCCCGCGCGGAAGAUGUAACGGGGCUAAACCAUGCACCGAAGCUGCGGCAGCGACACAAAGUGUUGUUGGGUAGGGGAGCGUUCUGUAAGCCUGCGAAGGUGUACUGUGAGGUAUGCUGGAGGUAUCAGAAGUGCGAAUGCUGACAUAAGUAACGAUAAUGCGGGUGAAAAACCCGCACGCCGGAAGACCAAGGGUUCCUGUCCAACGUUAAUCGGGGCAGGGUGAGUCGACCCCUAAGGCGAGGCUGAAAAGCGUAGUCGAUGGGAAACGGGUUAAUAUUCCCGUACUGGUGGUAACUGCGAUGGGGGAACGGAGAAGGCUAGGUUGUCCGGGCGACGGUCGUCCCGGUUCAAGCAGGUAGGCAGAGUGAUUAGGCAAAUCCGGUCACUUAAUGCUGAGAUGUGAUGACGAACCACCAAGGUGGUGAAGCAAUUGAUGCCCCGCUUCCAGGAAAAGCCUCUAAGCUUCAGGUUACCAACAAUCGUACCCCAAACCGACACAGGUGGUCAGGUAGAGAAUACUCAGGCGCUUGAGAGAACUCGGGUGAAGGAACUAGGCAAAAUGGUGCCGUAACUUCGGGAGAAGGCACGCUGGCGGUAGGUAAAGUCCCUUGCGGACGGCGCCCAAGCCAGUCGAAGAUACCAGCUGGCUGCAACUGUUUAUUAAAAACACAGCACUGUGCAAACACGAAAGUGGACGUAUACGGUGUGACGCCUGCCCGGUGCUGGAAGGUUAAUUGAUGGGGUCAGCCGUAAGGCGAAGCUCCUGAUCGAAGCCCCAGUAAACGGCGGCCGUAACUAUAACGGUCCUAAGGUAGCGAAAUUCCUUGUCGGGUAAGUUCCGACCUGCACGAAUGGCGUAAUGAUGGCCAGGCUGUCUCCACCCGAGACUCAGUGAAAUUGAACUCGCUGUGAAGAUGCAGUGUACCCGCGGCAAGACGGAAAGACCCCGUGAACCUUUACUAUAGCUUGACACUGAACAUUGAGCCUUGAUGUGUAGGAUAGGUGGGAGGCUUUGAAGUGUGGACGCCAGUCUGCAUGGAGCCAACCUUGAAAUACCACCCUUUAACGUUUGAUGUUCUAACCUAGGCCCAUAAACUGGGUCGGGGACCGUGUCUGGUGGGUAGUUUGACUGGGGCGGUCUCCUCCUAAAGAGUAACGGAGGAGCACGAAGGUUGGCUAAGCAUGGUCGGACAUCAUGCGGUUAGUGCAAAGGCAUAAGCCAGCUUGACUGCGAGAGUGACGGCUCGAGCAGGUACGAAAGUAGGUCUUAGUGAUCCGGUGGUUCUGAAUGGAAGGGCCAUCGCUCAACGGAUAAAAGGUACUCCGGGGAUAACAGGCUGAUACCGCCCAAGAGUUCAUAUCGACGGCGGUGUUUGGCACCUCGAUGUCGGCUCAUCACAUCCUGGGGCUGAAGUAGGUCCCAAGGGUAUGGCUGUUCGCCAUUUAAAGUGGUACGCGAGCUGGGUUUAGAACGUCGUGAGACAGUUCGGUCCCUAUCUGCCGUGGGCGUUGGAAGAUUGAGAGGGGUUGCUCCUAGUACGAGAGGACCGGAGUGAACGCACCACUGGUGUUCGGGUUGUCAUGCCAAUGGCAUUGCCCGGUAGCUAAGUGCGGAAGAGAUAACCGCUGAAAGCAUCUAAGCGGGAAACUUGCCUCGAGAUGAGUCUUCCCUGUCGCUUUAAGUGACCUAAAGGAACGUUUAAGACUAAGACGUUGAUAGGCUGGGUGUGUAAGCGUAGCGAUACGUUGAGCUAACCAGUACUAAUGAACCGUGAGGCUUAACCUG